GUUGGGAGAAGUCUGGAAGAGAUUCGGAGAAUAGUCGACCACUGUAGAGAAUCGGCUGAAAGUGAAGCUCAGAGAGCAUUUGGAGUAGUCCGAUAGAUGAAUGGAGAAGGUCAUGAUUGGAGAAGUCCGAUAGAUGAAUGGAGAAGGUCAUGAUUGGAGAAGUCCGGAUGGUAUUAUGAAAGCUCGGACGAUCAGGGAAGUUCGGAAAGAUGCCACACAAGGUCGGAAGCCGGAAGAGCCCUGGAAGAGUCGGCCUUUUACGAACUUCGACUGGGGUU
rnacentral:lncRNA from 1 species